rnacentral:rRNA from 1 species
GAUGAACGCUGGCGGCGUGCCUAAUACAUGCAAGUCGAGCGAACGGACGAGAAGCUUGCUUCUCUGAUGUUAGCGGCGGACGGGUGAGUAACACGUGGAUAACCUACCUAUAAGACUGGGAUAACUUCGGGAAACCGGAGCUAAUACCGGAUAAUAUUUUGAACCGCAUGGUUCAAAAGUGAAAGACGGUCUUGCUGUCACUUAUAGAUGGAUCCGCGCUGCAUUAGCUAGUUGGUAAGGUAACGGCUUACCAAGGCAACGAUGCAUAGCCGACCUGAGAGGGUGAUCGGCCACACUGGAACGGAGACAGGGUCCAGACUCCUACGGGAGGCAGCAGUAGGGAAUCGUCCGCAAUGGGCGAAAGCCUGACGGAGCAACGCCGCGUGAGUGGUGAAGGUCUUCGGAGCGUAAAACUCUGUUAUUAGGGAAGAACAUAUGUGUAAGUAACUGUGCACAUCUUGACGGUACCUAAUCAGAAAGCCACGGCUAACUACGUG